rnacentral:rRNA from 1 species
UACGGGGGGGGCAAGCGUUGUUCGGAAUUACUGGGCGUAAAGGGCCAGUAGGCGGCCAACUAAGUCGGAUGUGAAAUCCCCAGGCUUAACCUGGGAACUGCAUCCGAUACUGGAUGGCUUGAAUUCGGGAGAGGGAUGCAGAAUUCCAGGUGUAGCGGUGAAAUGCGUAGAUAUCUGGAGGAAUACCGGUGGCGAAGGUGGCAUCCUGGACCGACAUUGACGCUGAACGGCGAAAGCUAGGGGAGCAAACGGG